rnacentral:rRNA from 1 species
UACAGAGGGUGCGAGCGUUAAUCGGAAUUACUGGGCGUAAAGGGCGCGUAGGCGGUUUGUUGGGUGUGAUGUGAAAGCCCUGGGCUUAACCUGGGAAGUGCAUCGCAAACUAAUUAACUGGGAGUAGAUGAGAGGGUGGCGGAAUUUCGGUGUAGCGGUGAAAUGCGUAGAGAUCGGAAGGAACGUCGAUGGCGAAGGCAGCC